rnacentral:rRNA from 1 species
UGAGGAAUAUUGGUCAAUGGCCGAGAGGCUGAACCAGCCAAGUCGCGUGAGGGAUGAAGGUUCUAUGGAUCGUAAACCUCUUUUAUAAGGGAAUAAAGUGCGGGACGUGUCCCGUUUUGUAUGUACCUUAUGAAUAAGGAUCGGCUAACUCCGUGCCAGCAGCCGCGGUAAUACGGAGGAUCCGAGCGUUAUCCGGAUUUAUUGGGUUUAAAGGGUGCGUAGGCGGCCUUUUAAGUCAGCGGUGAAAGUCUGUGGCUCAACCAUAGAAUUGCCGUUGAAACUGGGGGGCUUGAGUAUGUUUGAGGCAGGCGGAAUGCGUGGUGUAGCGGUGAAAUGCAUAGAUAUCACGCAGAACCCCGAUUGCGAAGGCAGCCUGCCAAGCCAUUACUGACGCUGAUGCACGAAAGCGUGGGGAUCAAACAGGAUUAGAUACCCUGGUAGUCCACGCAGUAAACGAUGAUCACUAGCUGUUUGCGAUACACUGUAAGCGGCACAGCGAAAGCGUUAAGUGAUCCACCUGGGGAGUACGCCGGCAACGGUGAAACUCAAAGGAAUUGACGGGGGCCCGCACAAGCGGAGGAACAUGUGGUUUAAUUCGAUGAUACGCGAGGAACCUUACCCGGGUUUGAACGCAUUCGGACCGAGGUGGAAACACCUUUUCUAGCAAUAGCCGUUUGCGAGGUGCUGCAUGGUUGUCGUCAGCUCGUGCCGUGAGGUGUCGGCUUAAGUGCCAUAACGAGCGCAACCCUUGCCACUAGUUACUAACAGGUAAAGCUGAGGACUCUGGUGGGACUGCCAGCGUAAGCUGCGAGGAAGGCGGGGAUGACGUCAAAUCAGCACGGCCCUUACAUCCGGGGCGACACACGUGUUACAAUGGCGUGGACAAAGGGAGGCCACCUGGCGACAGGGAGCGAAUCCCCAAACCACGUCUCAGUUCGGAUCGGAGUCUGCAACCCGACUCCGUGAAGCUGGAUUCGCUAGUAAUCGCGCAUCAGCCAUGGCGCGGUGAAUACGUUCCC